rnacentral:rRNA from 1 species
UACGAAGGGUGCUAGCGUUGUUCGGAAUCACUGGGCGUAAAGCGCGCGUAGGCGGCUUGUCAAGUCAGGGGUGAAAUCCCACAGCUCAACUGUGGAACUGCCUUUGAAACUAGCAAGCUUGAGUGUCGGAGGGGAUAGCGGAAUUGCUAAUGUAGAGGUGAAGUUCGUAGAUAUUAGCAGGAACACCGGUGGCGAAGGCGGCUAUCUGGACGACAACUGACGCUGAGGCGCGAAAGCACGGGGAUCAAACAGG